rnacentral:rRNA from 1 species
GAUGAACGCUGGCGGCGUGCCUAAUACAUGCAAGUCGAGCGAACAGGCGAGGAGCUUGCUCCUCUGACGUUAGCGGCGGACGGGUGAGUAACACGUGGAUAACCUACCUAUAAGACUGGGAUAACUUCGGGAAACCGGAGCUAAUACCGGAUAAUAUAUUGAACCGCAUGGUUCAAUAGUGGAAGACGGUUUUGCUGUCACUUAUAGAUGGAUCCGCGCCGCAUUAGCUAGUUGGUAAGGUAACGGCUUACCAAGGCAACGAUGCGUAGCCGACCUGAGAGGGUGAUCGGCCACACGGGAACUGAGACACGGUCCAGACUCCUACGGGAGGCAGCAGUAGGGAAUCUUCCGCAAUGGGCGAAAGCCUGACGGAGCAACGCCGCGUGAGUGAGGAAGGUCUUCGGAUCGUAAAACUCUGUUAUUAGGGAAGAACAAAUGUGUAAGUAACUAUGCACGUCUUGACGGUACCUAAUCAGAAAGCCACGGCUAACUACGUG